GAACUGCGAUAAGUAAUGUGAAUUGCAGAAUUCAGUGAAUCAUCGAGUCUUUGAACGCACAUUGCGCCCCCCUGGCAUUCCGGGGGGCAUGCCUGUCCGAGCGUCAUUGCUGCCCUUCAAGCCCGGCUUGUGUGUUGGGUCGUCGUCCCCCCCGGGGGACGGACCCGAAAGGCAGCGGCGGCACCGUGUCCGGUCCUCGAGCGUAUGGGGCUUUGUCACCCGCUCGAUUAGGACCGGCCGGGCGCCCGCCGGCGUCAAACCCCAAUCUUUCUAAGGUUGACCUCGGAUCAGGUAGGGAUACCCGCUGAACUUAAGA
rnacentral:misc_RNA from 1 species